GCAAGAAUGUGGCCAACCACCAAACGAUAUAGUGCAGGAACUUGCUCCAGACUUUGAUAUAUCAACUCUUGGACAACUAUCACCGGAGAUGCUCGAGUCCCAACAGAACUGCUGUAUUAUGUGAAGACACUGGGCUCGACCAUCCUGAUGUCCACCUUGCUCCUUAAGUUGGUUCUUUUACCAUUGUAAACAAUAUACAUAUAGAACACGGGUUAUUGUUUGUAUGGAAUUUGAUUGUGGUUCUCAUCUUUCUAAUAAGC
rnacentral:misc_RNA from 1 species